GUUUGACACUGGGAAAGCACCAGGCCACAAAAGCCACUCCUGAACCUUCCCUGCCACAGCUGGGCGGAGGAGAGAAAAAAAAAAAUUAACAAUGGUUCAUGAGUUAGAGAUGAAAGAAGGACAGGAAAAGUAGAUGAAAGUAGAACAGGAGGAUAUGGGUUUGAAGAGCAAGGCAGGAGAAAGGAGAGUUACUGUCAAAGAUGAAAGAAAAAUAUUAAAAUUCUGCUGAAAAACAUCUAAAUUGGAAUUCUCUACAUCCUGAUCUGGAGCCAGCCUGGCAUCUGGAACCAAUUCAAGAGAAGCAUGAAAAGCUUUGAAGAAAAGUUAGUUCUAACCUGGCUGCUGUUCCUGGAGGAGACAAUGCUUUUGUCUGCUACCAGCUCACUGGCUUGCCAUCCACAGGAGCUGUCUGUAGCUCUCACUACCUGUUCUAAACAAAAGGUUUGCAAUGCAGAAAAGGGAACACAAGGAAUUGGAAAAACGAACACAGAAAUAUGGUGUGUUGAAGACCCUGUGCUUCAAAUAAGCAAUUCAAAAUCCAAAUUGAACUCCCCCAAGGAAGAAAACUCACAAUUUGCACAGUCAGGUCUAUUCACUGUCAUGAGGUUCCUCUGGUAGUCCCUCAAAGCCACCCGCCACAGAACAGGGAUGGCAGAUCACUUGGGAUUCCCUUGGCAUGUGGGUUUUUCAGGGUCUGACAUUUGAUUGUACUCUCCAUUCUUUAUAAAUAAAAAUGCUGUACAAAUUUUUUACAAGAAUGCUAAUCUGUGUGUGCAUGUGUUAUGUAUAUAAUAAUGUGUAUGUACACUAAAUUGUAACAUUUAAUAUGUUAUGCUAAUUUAUCUUUGCUAUAUAUUAGAUGUGAAAAGCAUUGCAUAAUUCUAGAAAACUGUCUAAACCAACCUUUGAAUCACUGCUGAUUAUUUUUCAAUGAUUUAAGAAGUUGAGUGAUACAUCGAAAACUGACAUUUUUCUGAUGCCUUUUGUAGGUAUUGCUAUCCCCAGGCAAGACACCUGUUAGAUGCCCCUGUUAUCAGAGGGGUGCCUUAUUCCCUAGAGCGCACAGGGACAGGCAUCAAACCUCUCAGCAGAAGCUGCAGAGGAAUACAUUUCCCAAGCUCUUUACUUCAUGGAGGCCACAGGACAUGUGCAUGGUGAUGGCAGGUCAUGCACAGACAGGCACAUUCUCUCUCUGGUGCUCCUCACCCC